GUGCCAGGCCGGGCAUCUGGUGUGCAAUCAAUGCCGGCAGAAACUGAGCUGCUGCCCCACGUGCAGGGGAUCCCUGACCCCAAGCAUCAGGAACCUGGCCAUGGAGAAAGUGGCUUCAGCUGUCCUCUUCCCCUGCAAGAUUCCAGUCAACAGGAACAUUCUGCACCUUCCAGCCAUACCAGAGGGAGGCUCGUGUCCUAGUUAUAUAUAUGGCUUCUAAACAAUUCCCUGCCCCCUUUCGCUCCCACAGCAAUAUGUGCCCAAGUAACCCCAGUAACAGCUGAUCACCCCUUUCCAGCAGAAACACGGGCGGGGGCUUCUACUCCCAGCCCUGUCAGCAGACAUUUGGCCUCCUGCUGGGAGCACAGUUCCUUUCCCCAAGAGUAUUAAGAGUACAAAGAAUAUAUAUCCUGCUCUUUGUCUUAAAGAUACCCACAGCUUGACUCUUGUUUACAAAUUAAGUGCCGCUGUCUUGUCUUAAUCCUGUGUGAUAGCCCUGCCGGUACACAGUGGUAUUAUGUGUAACUACACCAUUAAGGCUUUUAAAACAAUCAACUAUUAAAAUGUUACAUAAACAUCUAAUUGUUAAAAGUAAUAUCACUUAGAUUCUUGAAUAGAUCGUUUUUCACAUUGCAAAGUGUUUAGACCAUCUUAAUGCAUUAUUCUUCAUGCUUGCAAUUUAAUUUGAUGACUAAGAGGGACACAAUAUAUUUUAAAAGUCAUGAUAACUAAAUGUGUUCUGUCUGUUAUUUAGAACACUAUUAUAAUUCCAUCAGAUUAAAGAAAAUAAAUCUGUCCUUCCAUUUUCAGUCUGCUUACUUUGUACCAAUUACUUGGUAUUUAAUCAAUUUCACAUCUUUUCCCUGGCAUGGUCUGUGUAGUUUGGGUGGGUGUCUCUCUCAUAAUAAUUAAGGGCAGAAAACAUAUAUUUAAAUAAUAGGAAAUGUGAUAGACUAAGGGAAUCAGGAACAGAUAAAGUAUCAGAAUCUGCUGUUUAUAACAGGUUAGAUUUCAAAUUGAGAGUGCCUUUUUAAAUGAAGUGUUGAUUACUUCUCCCACCCCAAUAAACUACAAAGAAUAUUUAGAAAAGCUUAAUCUGAAUUCAAGAGCUUUGAUUUCCUUUGUUGUGGUUGUUGAUUUAAAGUAGAUUGUGUGAAUUAUCUUAAAAUAUGUCCUUACGGAAAUAAGCAUACAAGGUGGAUUAUACAGAUUCUUGCUACCCCUAGCAGAACUUUGAUAUUUACAAACAAGCCCAGAUCCUGCAGUUUGACUCCACACAAGCUUAAGAAUUCAUAUUAUCACUCACACCUACUUGAAGAAGUGGGGCAAUAGGGAAUGAAACAUAAUAAGUGGAAUGGGCUGUUGUACUCCUUUGUCUUAAAUUGAGAGGCUUGACUGGAAUUGGUGCUUAGAGUGAAAAUAUUUUCCUUCUGUUUGAAAAAAAGUGACAGGAGGCCAUAAUUUAAGCUGCUCAUUUUCCACCACCCAUGUAUGCCCUGUGUUCUGCAGUUUGUCCUUACAACUUCAGUUUGUUUUACAUACUCGUUUUAUAAGGGUUUUUUAUGCCAUGCUGCUAUUUGGGGUCAGUAGUGUUAGCCAACAACAGAGCUCCAGGAGUGAUGUUUACCUGGCCUGAACCAAAGAUUGAAAAGCUUCCUCAAUUCUUAUUGCCUGUCAUUAUCUGUUUUUUAAAACAUUUAUUCUUACCUGGAACCUUUUACUCAUUAUGCUGGGCAAACUUAAAAACCAGAAGAAUGCAAGAAAAAAAUUGGUGCACAUUUCCUAAAAUUUGGUGUAAAUUUUAAUGUGUCCAGUCAAAAGUGUUCCACCCAUCUAAUCCCCCCACCCCAAAAGUGAGCACUCCUUUAGGCAAGGACCUGGACUUUACAGCAAGGUACUGAUAUUUUCACUAUAGGAGUCAGUGCUUAGUGGAAAGUCACUAACUCCUGUGCCACCUAUGCACUGAGCUCAGUGUAAAAUCGGAGGUGGAUUCUACACCAGCAUCUCUUAGCGGGUUCUGAAAUCCAGGCUGUGAACAUUGAGGGGAAAUGGGCAGAACAUUAGCUGUUGCAGCAUAGAAGUUGCCUUGUGCUGAGAAGUCUUUCAGGCCAGCCAUACCACCCUUUUCAUGGCCAGUAACUUGCCAAUCGGUUCUAAAAGGCUGUUGACCAGCUAGCGAAGCUGUGACAAAGUUGGGAUUUUCUGUAAUGUUUUUAUGAAAGGCAUGCAUACUUUGCAUUGCUGCCCAGAGGAGGAAAAAGAGUUAAGUCUGUUCUUGGAAGCAGCACAGGACAUGAGGUGUGUGGGUGUUGCUAUGCUCUCUGGCCUGCAAUGAAUAGGGUUGUUGAGGAACUGGCUGGAACCUGCUGAAAGCAACCCUUAUGGAUGCUGCCUCCAAAAGAGACAAUGGAAAACCUCAGGGGCUAGAACAUUGACACCUAGGAAACAAUGAUUGAAAGGGAGGAUAAACUUAAACAACAAAUGGUCUGGUAGCACUUUAGAGACUAACAAAACAUGUAGUGUCAUGAGGUUUCAUGGGCACAUCUGAAGAAGUGGGCUCUGCCCACAAAAGCUCAUGAUACCAUCUACAUGUUUUGUUAGUCUAUAAAGUGCUACCAGAACAUGUGUUAUUUUUUGUUUAUCCUGUACAUACUAACUCAGCUACCCCCUGAAGCUUCUAAAAGGAAGGAGGUUUUCUCCCCAUCUGUCUGCAGGAAAGCAGAGCAAAAUCCCCCACCUUGAGAACAAAGAACUGACCUGGAAAGGAAAAGGGGAUUGGCUUCUGGAAGAGUCUAACUGCUCUCACCUGGAUAGUAAAGCUGAUGCAGAACAUCUCUCUUGUCCUUCUUUUGGCACAGUCAACCUGCAGUUAUGAAGCUAGAAGUGUUUUGGGAGAUUUUAAACCCGCAUCUCCUGACAUCAUUGGGAACAGUGAUGCUCAGCGCUUUAUGAAUUUAGACCAGAGAUACAUUAGAUACAGAAACGUCAUUUCAAGAACUAUGCCAGUUGCAGAUCUUGCCAUCCAGUGAAAUCUACCACCAGUAUGCCACUACUGGCUGUUCCCUGACACUCCACCAUACAGAAAAGCCGGAGCACGAAGACAUCUGUGAAUACCGUCCUUACUCCUGUCCA